rfam:Cricetulus griseus cell line CHO-K1, whole genome shotgun sequence.
GGAUAGGAGGGUGAUCUGGUUACAACAUCUGUCACCCUACUCAUCUCCAAGGUUGACUCAGCUAAUCUGGCUAACUAGGUCGGUGUCCCAUUUCAACCUUACCACUCCAUGUGUAUCUCACCCAAACUUUCACGGUUGGUUGAAGAGGACAACCUUCCCCUAUAGAUCAGGAACAUUCCUUCAUCAAGGGUAUAUGAGUAGCUGUACUGUCCUGAUAGAACCUCCAAACAAGUUCUCAAGUCUGCAUUUUCUGAUUUCUCAUUCCUAAAUGUUCAAUUCAAUAUAUUAUCAGUCUCAGAAUCUCCAAUGAUGAUGCUUAUACAU